ACAGAGGUCUCAAACGUUGUUCGGAAUCACUGGGCGUAAAGGGCGCGUAGGCGGCCAACUAAGUCACACGUGAAAUCCCCAGGCUUAACCUGGGAACUGCGUCGGAUACUGGAUGGCUUGAAUUCGGGAGAGGGAUGCAGAAUUCCAGGUGUAGCGGUGAAAUGCGUAGAUAUCUGGAGGAAUACCGGUGGCGAAGGCGGCAUCCUGGACCGACAUUGACGCUGAAAACCGAAAGCUAGGGGAGCAAACGGGA
rnacentral:rRNA from 1 species